UACGUAGGGGGCAAGCGUUGUCCGGAUUUAUUGGCGUAAAGAGCGUGUAGGCGGCCUUACAGGUCAGCUGUGAAAACUCGAGGCUCAACCUCGAGACGUCGGUUGAAACCGUAUGGCUAGAGUCCGGAAGAGGAGAGUGGAAUUCCCGGUGUAGCGGUGAAAUGCGCAGAUAUCGGGAAGAACACCCGUGGCGAAGGCGGCUCUCUGGGACGGUACUGAACGCUGAGACGCGAAAAGCGUGGGGAGGCGAACGAGG
rnacentral:rRNA from 1 species